GAUGAACGCUGGCGGCGUGCCUAAUACAUGCGAGUCGAGCGAACAGACGAGGAGCUUGCUCCUCUGACGUUAGCGGCGGACGGGUGAGUGACACGUGGAUAACCUACCUAUAAGACUGGGAUAACUUCGGGAAACCGGAGCUAAUACCGGAUAAUAUAUUGAACCGCAUGGUUCAAUAGUGAAAGACGGUUUUGCUGUCACUUAUAGAUGGAUCCGCGCCGCAUUAGCUAGUUGGUAAGGUAACGGCUUACCAAGGCAACGAUGCGUAGCCGACCUGAGAGGGUGAUCGGCCACACUGGAACUGAGACACGGUCCAGACUCCUACGGGAGGCAGCAGUAGGGAAUCUUCCGCAAUGGGCGAAAGCCUGACGGAGCAACGCCGCGUGAGUGAUGAAGGUCUUCGGAUCGUAAAACUCUGUUAUUAGGGAAGAACAAAUGUGUAAGUAACUAUGCACGUCUUGACGGUACCUAAUCAGAAAGCCACGGCUAACUACGUG
rnacentral:rRNA from 1 species